UUAACUAUUCGGAAUGAUGCGGGCUGGAUCUCUCGGGGUUACAGCCUUGCUGAAUUAUUCACCCUUGUCUUUUGCGUACUUCUUGUUUCCUUGGUGGGUUCGCCCACCACUAGGACAAACAUAAACCUUUUGUAAUUGCAAUCAGCGUCAGUAACAAAUUAAUAAUUACAACUUUCAACAACGGAUCUCUUGGUUCUGGCAUCGAUGAAGAACGCAGCGAAAUGCGAUAAGUAGUGUGAAUUGCAGAAUUCAGUGAAUCAUCGAAUCUUUGAACGCACAUUGCGCCCUUUGGUAUUCCAAAGGGCAUGCCUGUUCGAGCGUCAUUUGUACCCUCAAGCUUUGCUUGGUGUUGGGCGUCUUGUCUCUAGCUUUGCUGGAGACUCGCCUUAAAGUAAUUGGCAGCCGGCCUACUGGUUUCGGAGCGCAGCACAAGUCGCACUCUCUAUCAGCAAAGGUCUAGCAUCCAUUAAGCCUUUUUUCAACUUUUGACCUCGGAUCAGGUAGGGAUACCCGCUGAACUUAAGCAUAUCAAAAGCGGGAAAGGAA
rnacentral:rRNA from 1 species